AGGCCUGGAUAGAGAGGCAGGGUCUGAUCCGCAGCCUCCGUGGCAGCUGUUGAUCAGCCGUUGCCUCUCACUUUCUCUCCA
rfam:Myotis lucifugus cont2.22629, whole genome shotgun sequence.